GGAAAAGCAUUCCAGCUUGGAAUCGAACCAGGAUCAAUAAUACCUGUUUAUUUCCAGUAAGGCUAUUGCAUCACCUGUCUCUCCCUCUGCCCUCCCUGGAUAAAUAUGGUAAUGAGGUCAGCAGCCUCUGCCCCUCCCUCUGCCCUACCUUCUCUGGAUAAAUAUUAACACAUAAAAACCACUAUAAAGCGCUGCUCACAUGGACACAGCAACAACCCUUCAACAGAGGACAUCAGUCAGCCAUCUACAAUCUAGAGGACAUCAGUCAGCCAUCUACAAUCUAGAGGACAUCAGUCAGCCAUCUACAAUCUACAGGACAAUAACCAGCCAUCCACAAUCUCUCUGUGUGUGUAGCUAUGAGGGGAAUUGUCCUUCUCUUUCUGCUGUCUCUCUGGCCUGGAGGCAAGGUGGAUGCUAUCGAUCAAGAGGUCUUGGCUAAUGUGGUACAAAAGAUGAGAAGGUUCGGCCUGGAGAAACGCCAGUAUGCCAUGGCUGUCUUACUCACCCAACAGCAGUGUUCCCAAAAUGGAGCAAUCUUUGAUGUAGGCGUGCAACCUCAGGUUGUCCAGAACACACUUAAUGAUAACAAGGUCUACACAGGAAACCGGCUCAUCGCAGCCACACCUCUUAAAACAUCUCUUUACAUAGACCAUGCUGAGUACCGUCUCUUGAGUGGUGAUAAUAACAACUUCAGCCCAAUGCAGACUCUGAUAAACAAUGCUGGUAGUAAUGCUGGUCAAUGCAUCGUCUUCUUCUCCACCUACUCUCCCUGCCUGGAGAAAUGCAACAACCCUAAAGGACGAUACAAUAUUCUCCAAUUCAUGAACGUCUUUCAAGUCUUUGACAACAACCGGAAGGCCUUUGUCUUCUCCUCGGUUUGGGACCGUUCAAGGAACCAUCCAGGAGUGACCAACCCUGAUAGGGAGUGGGUGGUUGCCUCCUUCCAGAGAAUAGAAAGUUUCCUCCCUUUAUAUCGUUGUGACAGAUUCAAGGAAAACAAUAAAUGGGUCAACAGAUGUUACAAUUGUGUCACUAAUCCAGAUGACUGCUAGUGUACACUGUCUGUAUGGAUACUAAUAGUGUACACUGUCUGUAUGGAUACUAAUAGUGUACACUGUCUGUAUGGAUACUAAUAGUGUCCACUGUCUGUAUGGGUACUACUUGUGUACACUGUCUGUAUGGGUACUAAUAGUGUCCACUGUCUGUAUGAAUACUACUAGUGUACACUGUCUGUAUGGAUACUACUAGUGUACACUGUCUGUAUGAAUACUACUAGUGUCCACUGUCUGUAUGGAUACUACUAGUGUACACUGUCUGUAUGGAUACUAAUAGUGUCCACUGUCUGUAUGGAUACUACUAGUGUACACUGUCUGUAUGGAUACUACUAGUGUACACUGUCUGUAUGGAUACUACUUGUGUACACUGUCUGUAUGGAUACUACUUGUGUACACUGUCUGUAUGGGUACUAAUAGUGUCCACUGUCUGUAUGGAUACUAAUAGUGUACACUAUCUGAAUGGGUACUACUUGUGUACACUGUCUGUAUGGGUACUAAUAGUGUACACUGUCUGAAUGGGUACUAAUAGUGUCCACUGUCUGUAUGGGUACUACUUGUGUACACUGUCUGUAUGAAUACUACUAGUGUACACUGUCUGUAUGGAUACUACUAGUGUACACUGUCUGUAUGGAUACUACUAGUGUACACUGUCUGUAUGGGUACUACUUGUGUACACUGUCUGUAUGAAUACUACUAGUGUACACUGUCUUAAUGGAUACUAAUAGUGUACACUGUCUGUAUGGAUACUAAUAGUGUACACUGUCUGUAUGAAUACUAAUAGUGUACACUGUCUGUAUGAAUACUAAUAGUGUACACUGUCUGUAUGGAUACUAAUAGUGUACACUGUCUGUAUGAAUACUAAUAGUGCACACUGUCUCAAUGGUGGAAAUAUAGAAAUGUAUAUUUUCUUUCUUUCCCUCCGUCCAUCCCUCUCUGUCCAUCUCCCUCUCUGUACCCAUCUCCCUCUCUGUACCCAUCUCCCUCUCUGUACCCAUCUCCCUCU